GCCAGACUCCUACGGGAGGCAGCAGUGGGGCCUCUCCCACAAUGGUCCACACCCUGAUCCAGCAACGCCGCGUGACCGAAGAAGUAUUUCGGUAUGUAAAGCUCUAUCGGCAGGGAAGAAGCAAGACGGUACCUGACUAAGAAGCCCCGGCUAACUACGUGCCAGCAGCCGCGGUAAUACGUAGGGGGCGAGCGUUAUCCGGAUUCACUGGGUGUAAAGGGAGCGUAGACGGCCAAGCAAGCCAGGGGUGAAAGCCCGGGGCCCAACCCCGGGACUGCCCUUGGAACUGCACGGCUGGAGUGCGGGAGGGGCAGGCGGAAUUCCUGGUGUAGCGGUGAAAUGCGUAGAUAUCAGGAGGAACACCGGCGGCGAAGGCGGCCUGCUGGACCGCGACUGACGUUGAGGCUCGAAAGCGUGGGGAGCGAACAGGAUUAGAUACCCGAGUACG
rnacentral:rRNA from 1 species